rnacentral:piRNA from 1 species
GCAAGUGGAUCUCUGUGAGUUCAAGG